GUCUACGGCCAUGCCACCCUGAACAAGCUCGAUCCUGUCUGAUCUUGGAAGCUAAGCAGGGUCAGGCCUGGUUAGCACUUAGAUGGGAGACCACCUAGGAAGACCAGGUGCCGUAGGCG
rnacentral:rRNA from 1 species